GCCCUUUCUAAUUAACUAGGUCUACCCCUUUAAGCGUCGGUCUCAGUGAGCGUCGCUCCAGAGGGAACGCGCCCACUGCGGAGACCGGUUUUUUCCGGCCCCAGAAGGCCCCGACCCCGCCUCUCUCGCUGUCUCGGCCGCUUCACGAUUUACUUCGAAGUGCCACCAGGGGUUACUCCAGCAUCUACUUUUGCUGCCACUGCUAGUUCAAACACCAUGCUAUUUACCCCAUUUUCAGAUUCUUCUAUCUGCACUGCUGCUACUGGGCCCUCAUUUGAUGCCCCAGUAACUUCCACUGGAAUGUUUGGUGAUACAUCUUUGGGAUUUGGAUUAAGUUUCUCUGGAGCAUAUGGAGCAGCUGCUGUUGCAUCUAGUAAGAUUUUACGAUUAUUGGGAUGUAUUUGGAUGCUCACUGGAAAUGUAACAACAGUAAGUAGGUUGUAUUCCGUAGUUUCUAGGAUUCAGUUGGUUUUGAUCAUCUCAUCGGAGUAUCCAAAAGGUACAUCAAUGUUGAGAAUUGUCGAAGCGUGGAAGGACAUAGUUGAUACCAAUGAUAUUACUUCUUUUAGAUGACUAUAAUCAGAG
rnacentral:lncRNA from 1 species